AAGACUAUAGACCUGCGGAGUACCUGCGGAGGGAUCAUUAGUGAACGCCCUCACGGGCUUAUAACUAUUCCAAACCUCUGUGAACCGUGCCCUUCGGGGCUAUUUUACAAACAUGGUGUAAUGAACGUCAUAUAUCAUAACAAAACGAAACUUUUAACAAUGGAUCUCU
rnacentral:misc_RNA from 1 species